GCAUAAACGUUGAAGAGAAGGAGUACAGACGGGAAUCCUGAAGAGAGGCAGCGGUUGGUGCAAGUUGCUGGAGGAAACUCUGGAACGUGUCUUGGAGUGCAGGCUAAUCCCUGCCGCGGUCCGCGUUAUGGACAAGCGUCCUGUUCAAUGAACAGGGAAGUCAGGUGGUACCGCGUGAUUCACGUCCUUUCG
rnacentral:ncRNA from 1 species